AGAAUCAACGCUGGCGGCGUGCCUAACACAUGCAAGUCGAACGCGAAAAGGGCUUCGGCUCUUAGUAGAGUGGCGAACGGGUGAGUAACACGUGGGUGACCUACCUUCGAAUGGGGGAUAACGUCCCGAAAGGGACGCUAAUACCGCAUAACAUCCUGCCUUUGAACAGGUGGAGAUCAAAGCCGGGGAUCGCAAGACCUGGCGUUUGAAGAGGGGCCCGCGUCUGAUUAGCUAGUUGGUGAGGUAACGGCCCACCAAGGCAACGAUCAGUA
rnacentral:rRNA from 1 species